rnacentral:lncRNA from 1 species
UUUUUCUUAAUUCAGUUUUCAAACAUCCAGAAUAACUGACUUUUUAAAAAUCACAUGAAACAAACAAACAAAAAAACACAACAAAAGUGAGACCCUUGGACUCUGUGAAGUCCCCUUGCAGUAAAGGAUCUCAGGAUUGGAGAAAGACCCUAACAAGUUUUCAUAGUUUGCCCUAAUAGGCUCUGAGGUGAACUUCUUCCCGAGUUGUAUCUGAAGUUCCUGAUUUUAUCAAAUGUCUGUAGAAGGGAGAUAGCCCUUGGGUCUAUCAGUGCGCUGUGACAUCACAGCGUUUAGCCGGUUUGCAUAAAUCUCAUUUCAAGGAGCUGUGGCUCUGUAACAGGAAGUCUGCCCUUAGCCAGAUCUGCCAUGGGCAGGUGCUAUAAUCAGCAACGCAGAGCCCAGGCCUGCUACCAGUCCUGCAAGGAGAAAGCAAGUGGGCAACAAGUCCCAUGUCAUGGCCUCUACUUCUCCUGGAAGAGUUUCUUUAACAGCUGUGAAUUUCACUUGGUUAAUCCUUCUUGUCCUAUGAAAAGUGGAAGAUUGCUUCUCAUCCUCAAACUACCAGUAGGAGAAAUGAUCUGAGGCACUAUUGACUGAAUCAUCUUGUACUGGGUGUUGGAAUUAUGGGAAGGUGCUCUUGAAGAUCUCAGUUGGGAACUGAGGCACAGACUGACUCCUCUCACCUGGGGAAAGAAGUCUAGCUGAUCAGAGGUUCUCUAGCCAGAAGGCAAGUCUCCUAUUAGGUUAUUUGGGUGCAUCUUGGAUCUUAUUACACGUAGUAAGCCAGGCAAUGGACGAUAUGUUGCACAAAAGGAAUAGUGUAACUGGAUAGUGAACCCAGAAAGCAGAGAGAGAAAUAAUGUGAGAGAGGCUGACAGUUAAAAUUAUUUGGAUUAGAAUCUCCUUUAUUUUGUGUCAUUCUGAGAUCACAGCUUUGAUCCCUUGCACUGUAGUUGAGACGAGAUUAACUUUCUGUAGAUCUGAUAAGCAGGCUUCAGGAAGAAGAAGACAUUGCAGAGGGAGAGACCUCUGGGACUCUGCAGAUUAACUGCAUUUUGUGUUACAUUGUAUGGUUAGUUCCCUGAAAGAAGGACAUGGCAGAGAGUCCCUCAAGAACCAAGGACUGAGCCUGGGGUUCAUGGCUCUGCAUCUGAAUACAAAAAUUCUUUUAUCAAAAUGAAAAUCUUACAAAGAUGCCAUAAUCUUUUUCAGUAGCUAUGCUGGUCCUAGGAACAGGGCUGCCAUGGGCCAUAAAAGAAUUGGGCAUGAUCCUUGAGGAUAAACUGAAGAGCUGUUUAAUCUGCCCUAGCUAUAACAAUAAACCUGUAUUGUUGCAGUGUAAAUCUCA